UGGGGAAUAUUGCGCAAUGGGCGAAAGCCUGACGCAGCGACGCCGCGUGGAGGAUGAAGGUCUUAGGAUCGUAAACUUCUGUUAAGUGGGAAGAAAUGCCUGUUUCUAAUACAAGCAGGAGAUGACGGUACCAUUAGAGAAAGCACCGGCUAACUUCGUGCCAGCAGCCGCGGUAAUACGAAGGGUGCAAGCGUUAUUCGGAAUCAUUGGGCGUAAAGGGUGUGUAGACGGUAUGUUAAGUCUGUUGUUAAAUGCUCCAGCCUAACUGGAGACCUGCGGUGGAAACUAACAUGCUAGAGGGUGGAAGAGAGAAGUGGAAUUCUCGGAGUAGCGGUAAAAUGCGUAGAUCUCGAGAGGAACACCAAUGGCGAAGGCAGCUUCUUGGUCCAUACCUGACGUUGAAACACGAAAGCGUGGGGAGCAAACAGG
rnacentral:rRNA from 1 species